rnacentral:rRNA from 1 species
UACGUAGGGCGCAAGCGUUGUCCGGAAUUAUUGGGCGUAAAGAGCUCGUAGGCGGCCUGUUACGUCUGCUGUGAAAUCCCGGGGCUUAACCCCGGGCGUGCAGUGGAUACGGGCAGGCUGGAGGCAGGCAGGGGAGAACGGAAUUCCCGGUGUAGCGGUGAAAUGCGCAGAUAUCGGGAGGAACACCGGUGGCGAAGGCGGGUUCUCUGGGCCUGACUGACGCUGAGGAGCGAAAGCGUGGGGAGCGAACAGGAUAGAAACCCUGG